GACGAACGCUGGCGGCAUGCCUAACACAUGCAAGUCGAACGAGAAGUUCGGGUCUUGUGGCGCACGUGUGCGUACCAAGUGGGGAGUAGCACUUAGGUUAGGAAUCCCUCACCGUGAGGGAAGCUAAUAACGGAUGAUGUCUUAGCGGCAAAGAUGUAUGGCGUUUGGAUGGGGCCGCGUUGGAUUAGCCAGUUGGUAGGGUACAAGCCUACCAAGGCGACGAUGCAUGGCUGGUCUGAGAGGAGGACCAGCCCGACUGGGACUGCGACACGGCCCAGCCUCCUACGGGAGGCAGCAGUGGGUAAUAUUAGACAAUGGGGGAAAGCCUGAUCCAGCAAUGCCGGGUGAGUGAUGAAGGCCUUAGGGUUGUAAAUCUCUUUUACCCGGGAGGAUAAUGACAGUACCGGGAGAAGAAGCACCGGCUAACUCCGUG
rnacentral:rRNA from 1 species